CACGGGGGGAGCAAGCGUUGUUCGGAAUCACUGGGCGUAAAGGGCGUGUAGGCGGUUUGGUAAGUGGGAUGUGAAAUGCCUCGGCUCACCCGAGGACCGGCAUCCCAAACUGCCAAGCUUGAGUAUGGGAGAGGAUGUGGGAAUUCCUGGUGUAGCGGUGAAAUGCGUAGAUAUCAGGAGGAACACCGGUGGCGAAGGCGCACAUCUGGCCCAAUACUGACGCUGAGGCGCGAAAGCUAGGGGAGCAAACAGG
rnacentral:rRNA from 1 species